CCCACUCCACUUACAUUUGAAGCGUUGCAGAGGUCUUCCAAAGUGCUUUUAGGCAAGGUUCGUCGAACCGGUACCGAGACCCAUACCGAUCGGCAAUCGGUGCCUGUUCGAAUCGGACGGAACCGUUCGGUUCCGUCAAUUUCUGGCUGGUUUCGGCCGGUCCUGGUCGGUUAGGGGCCGGAACCGUUUUCCAUUCGAGAGCCAACCUGGUCAGAGACCAGGUCAGCUCGGUUCAGCAAUCAUUGCUUUUGGGCCUGCACCACCUUCUUACGUUGAUGGCAUGCAUGUACAUGCUAAAUAUCAUUUGGAGUGAACUUUUUAGAUAGGAGGCCAAAGUCAUAGAUAAAUAAUAUAAGGGCCAUACUUCACUGGUAUGAAUUUAGCAGUAUAGAAAUAGAAAAUCUUGUUCAUAUAUCUUACUUCCACGACAUAGUUCUCUGCUUCGUUUUGUGCUAUUAAUUUUGCUUGUAUCUUUCCUAUUGACACAUUGCUUUUUAUUUUUGGUUUACUCAUACUGUUUAUAUUGAGAAUGCAGUUCUUUGGGGGAUUAAAAUUGAUUCUGUUCUUUGUCAAUGAUGGUUUCAUAGAUUUU
rnacentral:lncRNA from 1 species